rnacentral:rRNA from 1 species
GCGACGGGGCGGCGUGCUUAACACAUGCAAGUCGAACGGUGAACACGGAGCUUGCUCUGUGGGAUCAGUGGCGAACGGGUGAGUAACACGUGAGCAACCUGCCCCUGACUCUGGGAUAAGCGCUGGAAACGGCGUCUAAUACUGGAUACGAGUAGCGACCGCAUGGUCAGUUACUGGAAAGAUUUAUUGGUUGGGGAUGGGCUCGCGGCCUAUCAGCUUGUUGGUGAGGUAAUGGCUCACCAAGGCGUCGACGGGUAGCCGGCCUGAGAGGGUGACCGGCCACACUGGGACUGAGACACGGCCCAGACUCCUACGGGAGGCAGCAGUGGGGAAUAUUGCACAAUGGGCGCAAGCCUGAUGCAGCAACGCCGCGUGAGGGAUGACGGCCUUCGGGUUGUAAACCUCUUUUAGCAGGGAAGAAGCGAAAGUGACGGUACCUGCAGAAAAAGCGCCGGCUAACUACGUGCCAGCAGCCGCGGUAAUACGUAGGGCGCAAGCGUUAUCCGGAAUUAUUGGGCGUAAAGAGCUCGUAGGCGGUUUGUCGCGUCUGCUGUGAAAUCCGGAGGCUCAACCUCCGGCCUGCAGUGGGUACGGGCAGACUAUAGUGCGGUAGGGGAGAUUGGAAUUCCUGGUGUAGCGGUGGAAUGCGCAGAUAUCAGGAGGAACACCGAUGGCGAAGGCAGAUCUCUGGGCCGUAACUGACGCUGAGGAGCGAAAGGGUGGGGAGCAAACAGGCUUAUAUACCCUGGUAGUCCACCCCGUAAACGUUGGGAACUAGUUGUGGGGUCCAUUCCACGGAUUCC